GUCAGGAUUUGAUCCUAGAAGGGUGGAGUCAUAAUUCUGGUUCCGAGCUCUCUGAUCAAGGAAGGCAUAUUUCUACCCCCGGGGCCUCCCCCAGUGUCUCAGCUGCUGCGGGCCUGGAACGUGCUGCUGUUUCUGCCACUGCGACUUCUGAUGGCUGCUGGUGGUCCUUGGCAUCCUCGGUUGGCACCCUGCCCUGCAUCACACGUCUGUGCCUCUGUGCCCCAUCUCCCCACUUCUUUUAUAAAGCUACCGACAGUGGAUUCCAGGCCCGUCCUCAUACUGUCUAGACGGGUAACCAAUUUUUGCCAAUUUGGAGCUGUGGAGACCUGUUCAGAGGAUCGCUCCCCUUCUCCCCGUCUCCCUGAGCCUUUUAGGUACGCGGCUGUGCUGGUAAAGUGUGACAAAAAAAGUUGAGUGAUUUAAUUCAAAUUUGUUCUUGCCUAGAUUACGGUUAAUACCCCUUUUUAGCAUGACUUAAUUCCUGACAAAUGGAUUUCCAGAGGUUGAGGAGAGCACGGUGGUUCCAAAGAAGAGGGUUUAUCCUCGUGUGUGUCGUGGGUUAAUUUGUCCCUUUCUCAUUCUUUGUCUUGCACUUUUUGCUACAUGAUCCUGCUCCCUAGCUGCAGGUCUGCAGGCACCUGUGUUGUGUCCUCACUCCCUGAGUCAUGGUGGCUCCACUCUGGGCCCUUUAUUGUCUUAUAUUUCAUUCUGUUCAUGACCAGAGUCCGUCUUGGUAUCCUGUGUGCCCAGUGUUGGAUAAUGAGGGAUGAAACAGGUGCAGGUUUCAGACCCUUGUGGUGACAUGGAGAGAGGAGGUAGCCCAGAGACUGGUUGUUGCUGGUUAGUGAGGCUUCUUGUGACCUGAGCAGACCUAGGGGCCCAGGUCAGGCCAGGCUGACCCAAGGGCUGAGGGCUCCUGCCUGCUGGGGACCUGAUGGUAGCACAACUACCCGGCCGGGAAGGUUCUUGUCUAUCCUGGUGGUUCUCAGCCAGGGGCUGUUUGGGAAUUUCAGGGACAUCAUUUGCUUGUGACAGUGACUCUGUGUAUGUAUGUGUGUGUGUGUUGUGUGUUUACAGGGGAGUUACCUCUGACAUUUGAUGGGCAGGCACCAGUGGUGCGGCUGUGCUAAGAGCAGUCUGCCCAGGGUAGACCCUUACCUGACAGUGGUGGUAUCUCCAACGGAGGGAGAACAAAUUGUUUUGUGGAUCUGUUUGUUUCUCAUUGUGGUCAAAGCCACGUAUUAGAACAUCCCCUGAACAGUUUUUACAGUUCGGUAGAGUUAACUGUAUUCAUGUUGUUGUGGAACACCUCCAGAACUUUUGUCUUGUGCGACUUAAACUUUGUCCCCACUAAACUAUAAUUUCCCAUUCCCCGAAGCCUGGAACCCCUGGUGCCUACCCGUCCUGCAACCCCCGCCCCGCCGCCCCCCCCCAGCUUUUGUGUGUCUGUGAUUGUGACUGCUUCAGAUUUUUUGUGCAAGUGGAAUCAUGCAGACUCUGUCUGUUUGUGACUGGCCUGUUUCACAGAGUAUAACCUCAAGGUUCAUCUCUGCUGCGGCAUAUGUCAGAAUUUCUUUCUUUCUUAAGGCUGCAUUCCAUUCCAUUCCAUGUGUGUACCACCUUUUCUUUUUUUCUUCAUCCACUGAUGGACAUUGGGUUGCUCUUACCUCUUGGGUAUUGUGAAUAGUGCUACAGUGAACAGGAUCCUGUUCCAUUGCCUUUGGGUAUAUUCCCAGAAGUGAGAUGGCCGGAUCAUAUGAUGAUUCUAUUUUUGAUGUUUGAGGACCGUCCUUACCGUUUUCCUUGACGGCUUUACCAGUUUCCAUUCCCACUAACAGUGUACAAGGGUUCUAGUUCUUUGAGUCUUUGCCAACACCCCUUCCUUCCUUCCUUCCUUCCUUCCUUCCUUCCUUCCUUCCUUCCUGGCAGCUAUUUUAAUGGAUAUAAGGUGAUAUCUCAUUGUGGUUUGAUUGAGUUAAUGAUUAGUGCAUUGUCUCAUAUGUUUGUUGGCUGUAACAUGGAUCUUUAAACGUAAGGAGCUUAUAUUGGAUUUAUUGAAGAAUCUUAGUAAGUGUGUACUUUCAGUAUUUUUUUGGUUUAGACUUCAUGAUGCUUAACCAUGAAACUACUCCUAGGAAUGAUUUCUUUCAACUGCCAAGCUGUCAGUUGGGAUUGAAUGAACCAGCGUUGGUGGUAGAGAUGGGGAUGCUAUUUUAAAGACCAGUGUCUGCUUAAAGGAAGCUUGAUUAUAAAGAGAAGAGUUAUUUUUAGAUUUAAGAUACAUUAGAUGUAAGUAGUCUUUUUUAAUAACAGAGUAUAAGGAGUAGAAACACUCACUGUCAUCAUCUAUUUUGUUGUUCUGGAUUCCUGCAACCUGUAAGGCAGAGUACUUCUCUCCAGAGUGCUCCCUGUUUCUUCCAUUCCCCCCGAAAGGCACAAGCUCAGUCUAGGGCCACCUGUUGGCUAGACUGGUCUGGCUCCACUUUCCGGAUCAGAAUGCUCUGGUUCUUCUGCAGCUGUUUGGUUGUGCCCCGAGUCUUCCAAAGAUGGAACUUUUAAGUUUGAAAGGAGAAUUUGUGGCCCAUAUAUAUUUUAGCUCAAAACCUCCAAAUGGAAUCAUUUUAAUAUGCGUUUUCUUGAGAAAUAUGUAAAUUAAUAAUUGCUUCAUACAUUAUUCAAGGAAAACUUAUUUUGUAUCACCAGUAGCUCUUGUAAUCUUAUAUAAAGAUAUGCUAAUGGAUUUAAUUAAAAUAAUUAUACUGAAUAAUGUAGCCUGAACUUUACCCUAAAAUAGUGUCUAUUAAUCAUCAUCAGUAGUAACAGUUUUAGCCAGAGAGACACUUACAACAUUAAACUGAUACUGGGUAGAAGGUACAUUUUCUGUUUUGUUUUAUGGCUUGGAUUAAGUUGGCAUUCUCGUGAGCUGCAUGAUGAUUAAAUUUGCUUAGAGAAGAGUAUACAAUCUAUUUAAUUUCUUCAACCUGAACUAUUUCAGUGGUUAGAAAACUUUUAGCAUUUUCUGCCACUUCAAAAUCCUUCCUAUGUAUUUAAUUUUCUUUUCCCCCUCCAAGCUGUGGCUCCAGUAUGCUUCUUGUCCAUUUGAUUCAGGUCUGACCUUACCUUCCUCCCCCAGAGCUGCGAUCGCUGGACAUCAGGAGUUCUCGAUUGCCAGGAUGGUGGGCGAUGGACUCACUUUUAGGAGGGGCCCUCAGCAACUUGCCUAUUCAAUAGGCAAGUUCUUUUCUAUUUAAUAGAAAUAGAAAUCGCUGGGACGCCCGGGUGGCUCAGCGGUUAAGCGCCUGCCUUCGGCCCAGGAUUGAGUCCCCCGUCCCACAUCAGGCUC